rnacentral:rRNA from 1 species
AUGAUCCACCCAAAUAAGUUUGCUCAGCUAGCCAAGAAGUUCCAGCGGAUUUUACCUGCCGGAGCCGGUGCCCGCCGCCGGCAGCAUGCCUCAAACACAUCCGACGACGAAUGCUGCAGCACAGCGCCGUCUAUGGUUGCUGAUGAGGGCCACUGUGUGGUGUACACGGACGGAGAACGGUUUGAGGUCCCUUUGGCGUACCUCGGGACGACGGUCUUCACCGAGCUCCUGAGGAUGUCCGAGGAGGAGUUUGGCUUCACCAGCGGCAGCGAUGGAGGCAGGAUCACGCUGCCCUGCGAUGCCAUGGUGAUGGAGUACGUCUUGUGCCUGGUCAGGAGAGAGGCCUCUGAGGAGGUUGAGAGGGCGUUCUUGAGCUCCAUUGAUGGGCACUGCCACAGCUACAAUGCUAGCUGCACGGUGCCAUCAAUGGCACUCAGCCAUAAAUUUGCUCUUUGUACUUAG